rnacentral:rRNA from 1 species
ACCUACGGGAGGCAGCAGUGAGGAAUAUUGGUCAAUGGGCGGGAGCCUGAACCAGCCAAGUCGCGUGAGGGAAGACGGUCCUAUGGAUUGUAAACCUCUUUAGGCGGGGAGCAAUGCCGGGCACGCGUGUCCGGAGGGAGAGUACCCGCAGAAUAAGCAUCGGCUAACUCCGUGCCAGCAGCCGCGGUAAUACGGAGGAUGCGAGCGUUAUCCGGAUUUAUUGGGGUUAAAGGGUGCGUAGGCGGAUUUUUAAGUCGGCGGGAAAAUGUCCGGGCCCAACCCGGGGCGGCCGGUGGAACUGGGGG